ensembl:lncRNA DNAJA4-DT DNAJA4 divergent transcript
AAGGGUGGGACUGGGAGAGCUGCGCCCUGCGGUCCCCACCCGGCCUCUCCCCGGGGGUGUGGCCGCCGUCUGUUCGGUCACAGCCAGGCUGCGGCCUAAGUUGAGGUACAGGGGUCCUUUGCUGGCCCCAGAUGUGGACAGUAUCCUCUCGAAUGCCCACCACUGGGAACCCUUAAGUCCCUCAAGAUCUUUCCUCAGCCUCGGCCAGUCCUAUCUCAGCAGUAGUGGCCGGUGUUAAGUAUGGUGCCUAGAAAAUUACAGACUAUUCCAGACCAGGAAGGAAAGUUGACUUCAUCUUCAGAUACUCAGGCUCCAGCCUGGAGACAUCUCAUCUCUCCUCUGUCACUCCUUCCCCAUUAUUAAAGUUUGUGGAUGUUCCUUAG